UUGCAAGUCGACCAAAGGCGAAAGCAGUCAUCAAGGGCAUGCCCGUUGAUCAAGAGCGAAAGUUAAGGGUUCGAAGACGAUCAGAUACCGUCGUAGUCUUAACUAUAAAUGAUACUGACUAGGGAUGAGACUCUGUCUAUCUCGACUCCUCUCGGACCUUAGAGAAAUCAAAGUCUUUGAGUUCCGGGGGGAGUAUGGUCGCAAGGCUGAAACUUAAAGGAAUUGACGGAAGGGCACACAAAGAGUGGAACCUGCGGCUUAAUUUGACUCAACACGGGAAAACUCACCAGGUCCUGAUACGCGUAUGAAAGACAAGCUGAAAGACUUUUCUCAAUGACGUAAGUGGUGGUGCAUGGUCGUUCUUAGUUCGUGGAGUGAUUUGUCUGGUCUAUUCCGAUAACGAGCGAGACCCCGACGUUCCUACUAGGGGCGGCAGCCCGACUCGCGCCCUUCGGGGUGCUUGUUAGCAGUCGCCUUAAAAUAGCUUCUUAGACGGAUCAGAGCCGAUAAGGUUCUUGAAAUGGGUUAAUAACAGGUCAGUCAUGCCCUUAGAUGUUCUGGGCCGCACGCGCGUUACAAUGGUAGACAAAACGAGUGCCUUUCGGGGCGUAACCCCCGCCGACGGGUGGGGGUAACCCCUAGUAUCUCCCUUGACUGGGCCAGACUAUUGUAAUUAUUGGUCUCUAACGA
rnacentral:rRNA from 1 species